rnacentral:rRNA from 1 species
CCUACGGGAGGCAGCAGUGGGGAAUAUUGGGCAAUGGGCGCAAGCCUGACCCAGCAACGCCGCGUGAAGGAAGAAGGCUUUCGGGUUGUAAACUUCUUUUGUCAGGGACGAAGCAAGUGACGGUACCUGACGAAUAAGCCACGGCUAACUACGUGCCAGCAGCCGCGGCAAUACGUAGGUGGCAAGCGUUAUCCGGAUUUACUGGGGGUAAAGGGCGUGUAGGCGGGACUGCAAGUCAGAUGUGAAAACCACGGGCUCAAACUGUGGCCUGCAUUUGAAACUGUAGUUCUUGAGUACUGGAGAGGGAGGCGGAAUGCCUAGGGGAGCGGGGAAAUGGGUAGAUAUUAGGAGGAACAACAGGGGCGAAGGCGGGACGCUGGACAGCAACUGACGCUGAGGCGCGAAAGCGGGGGGAGCAAACAGGAUUAGAUACCCCAGUAGUC